rnacentral:lncRNA from 1 species
UGGGGGAGUUUGGGUGGGGAAGGGACACUGGCCAGGGUCUGGGGUCCCAGGAUGGUAAGGGGGAGUAGGAGACAUUGGAGGCAGGAGCAGAAUUUGGGAUGCGGUGAGUAGGGGGUGGGGGGCUCACCUUCUCAGCCCGCACCUCGAUGUGGUUGUUGGAGGUGGUGACAAUGAUGUCUUCAGGUGAGAAGUCUCUCACGUCCACCGCAAACUCAUAGGCGUCUCCUAGGGUCUUGAUGUUGCCUGCCCCACCGGGGCGGGCUGUGGGAUGGGCUGCUGUGAGCGAGGCAUGGAGCAGGCCUUGCAUGCAGAUCCGGGGGUUCUGGCUCCUUCUCUUGGGGCAAGGGGCGGCUCCCCCAGGCCCUACCUCCCCCCUAGCUGUUUCUCCCUAAGCUCCUCCUCAUUCCUACAGCCCACCUUUUCUGGGGUGGGGGUGGGGCCUCACCCAGCACAGUGUGUGUGUAUAUGAGGCUAGGUCUGUAACAACCCCACCCCAGGCCUGGAGCCUGGGGGCUGCCCCCCACCGCUCACCCAUCCAGCCCUCCAGGGCUCCAGCUGGGAUUGGCUGUGGUUACAGAGCAUGGGUGGCCAUGGAACCAUGUCCAACCCCCAGGGCCACAACUGUUCCUUAGAGGCCCACCUGUUUUCAUGGCCACAUCUGUCCCUGUGGCCACAUCUGUCUUGGUGGCCACACAUGGCUGCAGGCUGUGCAGCACCUGUUCCAGGCCGACCGGCAGCCACAGCGCCUUCGGUGGCGCCCUGGAGCAGACGUCCCCUCCCUGUGCACCUCCCCUCCCCUCAGGGCCCGGAUCACUUGCCUGGGAAGGCCAGGGGCUCCGAGUGGGGCCGCAUGAAGCUGCCAAAGUCAUCGGAAAACAUGCUCAGGGCCUUCUCCAUGGGCGGGUCCUGGGCCGGGAGAGCACGGGAGGCCGAGGAGGAGGUGGAAGAGGAGGAGGAAGAGGAAGAGGAAUGGAAACUUCUCUCCGCUCGGAAGGUGGAAGAGGUUCUGUGGCUCAUCCACGGACGGCGCCGGGCCCUGCCCAGGCGGGCGAGGGCUGGACAGGAGAGGGUGUGGGCGCAGGCCUCUGGGCGAGCGUGCCAGGCUCCGACUGCGGCCGCUUUAUAAGGCCGACUGUCCCUGGGCUUGGGGCCAGCCCCUUGUCUACUAGCUAAAUUUAGGCCUCUCCAUGGCCCAGAGGGGGCUGGAAAUCUUCUCCCGUGCGCCGGCCCUGCUGACAGCCCGACACGCAGGCCGAGAGGGCUGAGCUCACAGCCUGACAUUCCAGGCUGAUCACAGCAGCCCCAGGGGCCUCCUCACCACUGCACAGGGCUGGAUCCUGUCUCCUUGCCACUCGGACCUCGGUGCCUGCCCCAGAACCUUGCAAGUUUGGGGUUUAUUGUGUGUUUUGUUUCCCCCGUCAGCCUGGGGGCUCCUGAGGACUGUGCCUCCCCUCCAGACUCUGGUUCUCCUCCACGGCUGUACCUCCUCCAUCAGUGUGCAGGCUCCUUGGGGACAGGGUAGGUGGAAGCACCACCGCUCUGUGACGUCAGGAGCUCCUUCCCUCAAGGCAGACAACCUUCACAGCCCAUCUCUAAGGAAAGGUUGAGCCCUGCCAGGGGGUGUAAAAUGUGCAGCUGUCCCCUGCCAGCCCCCAUGGGGACCUGGAUUCUGUGCCUGCACUCCCUCUGACUCUCAGAACAUUCAGCAGCCCCAAGAGGACAAAGUUGGCAGCUUUCUCCUUAAAGGUCUAGAAGGUUGUGUUCCCGGCAACUGUCUGCUCCAUCUCUGUGUCAGAGGUGAUGCCUGCGAGCGCCUUAGGUGGGAUUUCAGUCAGAGGUAAAAGAGAAUUCCGGAAGACAAUUAUUCUAGCCCUGAGUUCUAGAAUGCCUUCUGGGCAUGGGCUCCUGGCUGCAAGCUGUCCAGCACGGCCCCGUUUGAUCCCCACACAGCUGGGAGGGUGGAGGGGCUCUUCCCAUGUUACGGACGGGGAAGCGAAGCCUCUUGGAAAGGGCGGGGCUCGCAGUUGCAUCACAGAGACAGAAGGAGCUACAAAGAUGAUGCAGUCCUUUGAAUCCCAGUCACCCAGGAGAGCUUUUCACAAACACAGACCCUUUCCUUGGACCCCAGGAUUUUGAUUUGGGAUCUGGGGAAGGGACCUCACAUCUCUUCCCAUCAGCUCCCCACACAGCCAGCUCAUAGGCCAGUGAUGAAGCCCUCAUCACUCAGUGUCGGCCUCCUCGCCAGCCCUGGACAAGAUGGGUCAUCAGGAUGGGACCGUGUGGCACAGCCUGCGGGCUUUGGAGCCAGGCAAACCUGGGCUGGGAAUCCUGGCUCUGCCUCGGCCUCCGUGAUCUUAGACAGGCAGCCCCAGCUCCCUGAGACACCAUUUCUCUACAACGGGAUCACGCUGCCUGCCUCGUGGGAUUUCCGUGGGCACUCAGGGUAAUUAAUCUGGGAGAAGGCUGACUCUCUACCUGACACACAGGGAGGCUGUGGUCAUGCUGGCCCCACUCACCAUUGCCCCCCUGCCUUCUCCUUCCCUUCCCAGCCUCCUCCCCUCUCCCUCUGUGCUUUUUCAAACCUUCCAUGUCCAGCUCUGAGACCCCUGGACCCUGAGUCUCAGCCUUGGCAGAUGACCCCUCUCUGUCCUGCUGUGUGCAUGAGCUCCCCCUUCCCAGCCCUCGUCCAGCAGCACCCAGGAGCCUGAGUACAGCUGGGCACCACCCUCUGUGCAGCUGUGAUGGGUGGGGAGGCUCCUGCU